rnacentral:lncRNA from 1 species
AUGAAUACAAUGAAAUACAUAAAAAUAUAGCGUGAUACGUUGAAAAAAUAUUAAAAUAUAUUAACAGAAAACCAAAUUGCUCAAUCCCAAAUUCCAUUGGCUUAGUUCAAGAACAAACUCUAAUUUUUGGCGAAUCAACCAUGGAGCAAAACCCUGAAUCUCAAUGUGCACGCGCCGCCGUUGAUCAGAGGCAUAGCUUAAUCUGUUCUUUAUCUUCCUUUGGCACAUAAAGGACAUGGCUUUUAGUAAGGUUGAAAUUUUGUUUGUGAGUUUGAGUUUGGAUGUAUGACAUCCAAGAUUCUUAUGAUUACACACAGGAAAUCAAAGACUAUCAUUGCAGGAAUACGAAGACAUGUGAAAGGCUUUCUGGAGAACCAUCGACUUUCAACUUUACAACUAAAGGAUUUAGGGUUUAAUAUUCCAUAUGGAGGAAAAUGAAUCUCUAGAGUCUUCAGCAAUGACCGAAAUUAUAUAUACAUAAUUACAUACCACAAAUGUAGAAUUUUAUGAAAUAAAAUCCUAAUUUCCC